rnacentral:lncRNA from 1 species
GCCGAGCCGUAGAACAAGAUGGCGGACUCCUUAGCAACGGCUCAGGGAGAGGAGAUCGAACCGGAGAAAGAAGGCAAGGAGAGACGGAUGGAGGGAGAUAGUGAGAACCGGGGAUCGAAGGAGACCUCCGAGGUGACGGAAACGCUGGGGUUUUACGACAAGAAGAAAGUCCAAAAGGACAAGAAACGGAGUUUGUCUGGUGAGUACUGAACCAGAACCUCAGCUUGAGGAGAGGAGAGCCCAGGUACUGGUCCAGGUGAGUACUGAACCAGAACCUCAGCUUGAGGAGAGGAGAGCCCAGGUACUGGUCCAGGUGAGUACUGAACCAGAACCUCAGCUUGAGGAGAGGUAGUAGUAGUAGCAGCUAGCUAACAGUACUAACAGUAGUAGUAGUAGUAGUAGUAGUAGUAGCAGCUAGCUAACAGUAGUAGUAGUAGUAGUAGUAGUAGUAGCAGCUAGCUAACAGUAGUAGUAG